rnacentral:rRNA from 1 species
CCUACGGGUGGCAGCAGUGGGGAAUAUUGGGCAAUGGGCGCAAGUCUGACCCAGCAACGCCGCGUGAAGGAAGAAGGCUCUCUGGUUGUAAACCUCCUUUUAGAGGGAAGAGCAGAAGACGGUACCUCUUGAAUAAGCCACGGCUAACUACUUGCCAGCAGCUGCGGUAAUACGUAGGUCGCAAGCGUUGUCCGGAUUUACUGGGUGUAAAGGGCGUGCAGCCGGGAAGACAAGUCAGAUGUGAAAUCCCGCGGCUCAACCGCGGAACUGCAUUUGAAACUGUUUUUCUUGAGUACCGGAGAGGUGGUCGGAAUUCCGUGUGUAGCGGUGAAAUGCGUAGAUAUAAGGAAGAACACCGAUGGCGAAGGCAGAUGACUGGACGGCAACUGACGGUGAGGCGCGAAAGCGUGGGGAGCAAACAGGAUUAGAUACCCUUGUAGUC